GUCAUGUAUUGCAUUUGCUUGCGCCAGUCGGUUAGCGGCCUUGCCUUGAGAUCAUCCAGCGUCAUGCCAUAGAGCCCAAUGCAGGCAAACAUCCACGCAGAGAGAAGGGAGAGCACACAUCCAACCACACGAAUGGGCAGCAACAAAACCGUCAACAUAUACACCUUGGCCACCUCAAUGUGACUGUCGAUUUCGACGCGGUGCACGAAGGGAUUAAUAUAGUUGUAUCCCUUGGAUGCCC
rnacentral:lncRNA from 1 species